CGGUCAGAUUGAACGCUGGCGGCAGGCCUAACACAUGCAAGUCGAACGGUAGCACAGGGAGCUUGCUCUCGGGUGACGAGUGGCGGACGGGUGAGUAAUGUCUGGGAAACUGCCCGAUGGAGGGGGAUAACUACUGGAAACGGUAGCUAAUACCGCAUAACGUCGCAAGACCAAAGUGGGGGACCUUCGGGCCUCACACCAUCGGAUGUGCCCAGAUGGGAUUAGCUAGUAGGUGGGGUAAUGGCUCACCUAGGCGACGAUCCCUAGCUGGUCUGAGAGGAUGACCAGCCACACUGGAACUGAGACACGGUCCAGACUCCUACGGGAGGCAGCAGUGGGGAAUAUUGCACCAUGGGCGCAAGCCUGAUGCAGCCAUGCCGCGUGUA
rnacentral:rRNA from 1 species